rnacentral:rRNA from 1 species
ACGCACGCUGGCGGCGUGCCUAAUACAUGCAAGUCGAGCGCAGGAAGUCAUCCGAACCCUUCGGGGGGACGUUGACGGAAUGAGCGGCGGACGGGUGAGUAACACGUAAAGAACCUGCCCUCAGGUCUGGGAUAACCACGAGAAAUCGGGGCUAAUACCGGAUGGGUCAUCGGACCGCAUGGUCCGAGGAUGAAAGGCGCUCCGGCGUCGCCUGGGGAUGGCUUUGCGGUGCAUUAGCUAGUUGGUGGGGUAAUGGCCCACCAAGGCGACGAUGCAUAGCCGACCUGAGAGGGUGAUCGGCCACACUGGGACUGAGACACGGCCCAGACUCCUACGGGAGGCAGCAGUAGGGAAUCUUCCACAAUGGACGAAAGUCUGAUGGAGCAACGCCGCGUGAACGAUGAAGGCCCUCGGGUCGUAAAGUUCUGUUGUAAGGGAAGAACAAGUGCCGCAGGCAAUGGCGGCACCUUGACGGUACCUGGCGAGAAAGCCACGGCUAACUACGUG